CAGUCGCCACGGUAACACGUAGGUGGCAAGCGUUGUCCGGAAUUAUUGGGCGUAAAGGGCUCGCAGGCGGUUUCUUAAGUCUGAUGUGAAAGCCCCCGGCUCAACCGGGGAGGGUCAUUGGAAACUGGGAAACUUGAGUGCAGAAGAGGAGAGUGGAAUUCCACGUGUAGCGGUGAAAUGCGUAGAGAUGUGGAGGAACACCAGUGGCGAAGGCGACUCUCUGGUCUGUAACUGACGCUGAGGAGCGAAAGCGUGGGGAGCGAACAGGAUUAGAUACCCGCGUAGUCCCUGUCUCUUAUAA
rnacentral:rRNA from 1 species